ACGCACGCUGGCGGCGUGCUUAACACCUGCAAGUCGCACGGAAAGGCCCUGCUUUUGUGGGGUGCUCGAGUGGCGAACGGGUGAGUAACACGUGAGUAACCUGCCCUUGACUUUGGGAUAACUUCAGGAAACUGGGGCUAAUACCGGAUAGGAGCUCCUGCUGCAUGGUGGGGGUUGGAAAGUUUCGGCGGUUGGGGAUGGACUCGCGGCUUAUCAGCUUGUUGGUGGGGUAGUGGCUUACCAAGGCUUUGACGGGUAGCCGGCCUGAGAGGGUGACCGGCCACAUUGGGACUGAGAUACGGCCCAGACUCCUACGGGAGGCAGCAGUGGGGAAUAUUGCACAAUGGGCGGAAGCCUGGUGCAGCAACGCCGCGUGCGGGAUGACGGCCUUCGGGUUGUAAACCGCUUUCGCCUGUGACGAAGCGUGAGUGACGGUAAUGGGUAAAGAAGCACCGGCUAACUACGUG
rnacentral:rRNA from 1 species